UGAAGUGCGAAUGCUGACAUAAGUAACGAUAAAGCGGGUGAAAAGCCCGCUCGCCGGAAGACCAAGGGUUCCUGUCCAACGUUAAUCAGGGCAGGGCGAGUCGACCCUNNCGCGAGGCCGAAGGCGUAGUCGAUGGAAACAGGUUAAUAUUCCUGUACUUGGUGUUACUGCGAAGGGGACGGAGAGGCUAUGUUGGCCGGGCGACGGUUGUCCCGGUUUAAGCGUGUAGGCUGGUUUUCCAGGCAAAUCCGGAAAAUCAAGGCUGAGGCGUGAUGACGAGGCACUACGGUGCUGAAGCAACAAAUGCCCUGCUUCCAGGAAAAGCCUCUAAGCAUCAGGUAACAUCAAAUCGUACCCCAAACCGACACAGGUGGUCAGGUAGAGAAUACCAAGGCGCUGAGAGAACUCGGGUGAAGGAACUAGGCAAAAUGGUGCCGUAACUUCGGGAGAAGGCACGCUGAUAUGUAGGUGAAGCGACUUGCUCGUGGAGCUGAAAUCAGUCGAAGAUACCAGCUGGCUGCAACUGUUUAUUAAAACACAGCACUGUGCAAACACGAAAGUGGACGUAUACGGUGUGACGCCUGCCCGGUGCCGGAAGGUAAUUGAUGGGGUCAGCGCAAGCGAAGCUCUUGAUCGAAGCCCCGGUAAACGGCGGCCGUAACGAUAACGGUCCUAAGUAGCGAAAUUCCUUGUCGGGUAAGUUCCGACCUGCACGAAUGGCGUAAUGAUGGCCAGGCUCUCCACCGAGACUCAGUGAAAUUGAACUCGCUGUGAAGAUGCAGUGUACCCGCGGCAAGACGGAAGACCCGUGAACCUUUACUAUAGCUUGACACUGAACAUUGAGCCUUGAUGUGUAGGAUAGGUGGGAGGCUUUGAAGCGUGGACGCCAGUCUGCAUGGAGCCGACCUUAGAAAUACCACCCUUUAAUGUUUGAUGUUCUAACGUGGACCCGUGAUCCGGGUUGCGGACAGUGUCUGGUGGGUAGUUUGACUGGGGCGGUCCUCCUAAAGUAACGGAGGAGCACGAAGGUUGGCUAAUCCUGGUCGGACAUCAGGAGGUUAGUGCAAUGGCAUAAGCCAGCUUGACUGCGAGCGUGACGGCGCGAGACNGNAGCUGGGUGUAAAAGUGAUCCGGUGGUUCUGAAUGGAAGGGCCAUCGCUCAACGGAUAAAAAUUACUCCGGGAUAACAGGCUGAUACCGCCCAAGAGUUCAUAUCGACGGCGGUGUUUGGCACCUCGAUCGGCUCAUCACAUCCUGGAGCUGAAGUAGGUCCCAAGGGUAUGGCUGUUCGCCNGNUAAAGUGGUACGCGAGCUGGGUUUAGAACGUCGUGAGACAGUUCGGUCCCUAUCUGCCGUGGGCGCUGGAGACUGAGGGGCUGCUCCUAGUACGAGAGGACCGGAGUGGACGCAUCACUGGUGUUCGGGUUGUCAUGCCAUGGCACUGCCCGGUAGCUAAAUGCGGAAGAGAUAAGUGCUGAAAGCAUCUAAGCACGAAACUUGCCCCGAGAUGAGAGUUCUCCCUGACUCCUUGAGAGUCCUGAAGGAACGUUGAAGACGACGACGUUGAUAGGCCGGGUGUGUAAGCNNNNNAGCGAUGCGUUGAGCUAACCGGUACUAAUGAACCGUGAGGC
rnacentral:rRNA from 1 species